GUGAGGAAUAUUGGACAAUGGGCGCAAGCCUGAUCCAGCCAUGCCGCGUGCAGGAAGACGCAUCUAUGGUGUGUAAACUGCUUUUGUACGGGAAGAAACACUCCCUCGUGAGGGAGCUUGACGGUACCGUAAGAAUAAGGAUCGGCUAACUCCGUGCCAGCAGCCGCGGUAAUACGGAGGAUCCAAGCGUUAUCCGGAAUCAUUGGGUUUAAAGGGUCCGUAGGCGGUUUAAUAAGUCAGUGGUGAAAGCCCAUCGCUCAACGAUGGAACGGCCAUUGAUACUGUUAGACUUGAAUUACAUGGAAGUAACUAGAAUAUGUAGUGUAGCGGUGAAAUGCUUAGAUAUUACAUGGAAUACCAAUUGCGAAGGCAGGUUACUACUUGUGGAUUGACGCUGAUGGACGAAAGCGUGGGGAGCGAACAGGAUUAGAAACCCCAGUAGUCC
rnacentral:rRNA from 1 species